rnacentral:rRNA from 1 species
AGAGUUUGAUCCUGGCUCAGGAUGAACGCUGGCGGUAUGCUUAACACAUGCAAGUUGAACGAAGGUAUCUAAAAGAUAUACUGAGUAGCGGACGGGUGAGUAAUACGUAAGAACCUACUUUUUGGAGAUGGAUAACUGUUAGAAAUGAUAGCUAAUACAUUAUAUAACUGAGAAGAUAAAAGCGAAAGCUGCCAAAAAAAGGGCUUGCGCCUGAUUAGCUAGUUGGUGCGAUAAUAGCGUACCAAGGCAAUGAUCAGUAGCUGUUCUGAGAGGAUGAUCAGCCACAUUGGGACUGAGACACGGCCCAGACUCCUACGGGAGGCAGCAGUGAGGAAUUUUCCGCAAUGGGCGAAAGCCUGACGGAGCAAUACCGCGUGAAGGAUUAAGGCCCAUGGGUCGUAAACUUCUUUUUUCAGAAAAGAAUAAUGACGGUAUCUGAAGAAUAAGCAUCGGCUAACUCUGUGCCAGCAGCCGCGGUAAGACAGAGGAUGCAAGCGUUAUCCGGAUUAAUUGGGCGUAAAGAGUCUGUAGGUUGUUUAAAAAGUAUUUUGUUAAAGAUUAGGGCUUAACUCUAGAAAUGCGAAAUAAACUUUUAGACUAGAGUAUGGUAGAGGCAAAGGGAAUUUCCGGUGAAGCGGUGAAAUGCGUAGAUAUCGGGAGGAACACCAAAGGCGAAAGCACUCUGCUGGGCCAUCACUAACACUGAGAGACGAAAGCGAGGGGAGCAAAUGGGAUUAGAUACCCCAGUAGUCCUCGCCGUAAACGAUGGAAACUAGAUGUUGGGUGCAUAAAAAACAUUCAGUAUCGUAGCUAACGCAUUAAGUUUCCCGCCUGGGAAGUAUGCUCGCAAGAGUGAAACUCAAAGGAAUUGACGGGAACCCGCACAAUUGGUGGGGUACGUGGUUUAAUUCGAUGCAACGCGAAGAACCUUACCAGGAUUUGACAUGUCACUUAUAUAUUGUUUUAAUUUUUUAAUUUAAAUUAAAAUAAUAUAUGCUAAAAUAGUGAACACAGGUGGUGCAUGGCUGUCGUCAGCUCGUGUCUUGAGAUAUUGGGUUAAGUCCCGCAACGAGCGCAACCCUUUUUUUGUAUUGCUUAAAUUUUUAAGGAAAUUCAAAAUACUGCCGGUGUUAAGCCGGAGGAAGGAGAGGAUGAGGUCAAGUCAGCAUGCCCCUUAUAUUCUGGGCGACACACGUGCUACAAUGGCCGAAACAAAGAGCAGCCAUUCUGCAAAGAUAAGCGAAUCUCAAAAAAACGGUCUCAGUUCGGAUUGUAGGCUGCAACUCGCCUGCAUGAAGUUGGAAUCAAUAGUAAUCGCAGGUCAGCCACACUGCGGUGAAUACGUGCCCGGGUUUUGUACACACCGCCCGUCACACCAUGGAAGUUGGCUAUGCCCAAAAUCAUUACCUUAACCAGAAAAAGGAGGGGGGUGCUUAAGGCAGAGUUGAUGACUAGGGUGAAGUCGUAACAAGGUAGCCGUACUGGAAGGUGCGGCUGGAUCACCU